rnacentral:rRNA from 1 species
AUUCCAGCUCCAAUAGUGUAUAUUAAAGUUGUUGCGGUUAAAAAGCUCGUAGUUGGAUUUCUGUCGGGGACGACCGGCCCGCCCCUGGGUGCGUACCUGGUUCGGCCUUGGCAUCUUCUUGGAGAACGUUACUGCACUUGAUUGUGUGGCGCGGUAUUCAGGACUUUUACUUUGAGGAAAUUAGAGUGUUUCAAGCAGGCACAGUCCUUGAAUACAUUAGCAUGGAAUAAUAAGAUAGGACCUUAGUUCUAUUUUGUUGGUUUCUAGAGCUCAGGUAAUGAUUAAUAGGGAUAGCUGGGGGCAUUCGUAUUUAAUUGUCAGAGGUGAAAUUCUUGGAUUUGUUAAAGACGAACUACUGCGAAAGCAUUUGCCAAGGAUGUUUUCAUCA